UCCAGACUCCUACGGGAGGCAGCAGUGGGGAAUAUUGCACAAUGGGGGGAACCCUGAUGCAGCGACGCCGCGUGGGUGAAGGAGCACCUCGGUGCGUAAAGCCCUAUCGGCAGGGAAGAAACAGACGGUACCUGACUAAGAAGCCCCGGCUAACUACGUGCCAGCAGCCGCGGUAAUACGUAGGGGGCAAGCGUUAUCCGGAUUCACUGGGUGUAAAGGGAGCGUAGACGGCGACGCAAGUCUGGAGUGAAAGCCCGGGGCCCAACCCCGGGACUGCUCUUGGAACUGCGCGGCUGGAGUGCAGGAGGGGCAGGCGGAAUUCCUGGUGUAGCGGUGAAAUGCGUAGAUGUCAGGAGGAACACCGGUGGCGAAGGCGGCCUGCUGGACUGCGACUGACGUUGAGGCCCGAAAGCGUGGGGAGCAAACAGGAUUAGAUACCCCCGUAGAG
rnacentral:rRNA from 1 species